UACGAAGGGGGCUAGCGUUGCUCGGAAUCACUGGGCGUAAAGCGCACGUAGGCGGCUUGUUAAGUCAGGGGUGAAAUCCUGGAGCUCAACUCCAGAACUGCCUUUGAUACUGGCGAGCUUGAGUCCGGGAGAGGUGAGUGGAACUGCGAGUGUAGAGGUGAAAUUCGUAGAUAUUCGUAGGAACACCAGUGGCGAAGGCGACUCGCUGGACUUGUGGUGACGCUGAGACGCGAAAGCGUGGGGAGCAAACAGG
rnacentral:rRNA from 1 species